rnacentral:rRNA from 1 species
UAGGGAAUCUUCGGCAAUGGACGGAAGUCUGACCGAGCAACGCCGCGUGAGUGAAGAAGGUUUUCGGAUCGUAAAGCUCUGUUGUUAGAGAAGAACGUUGGUAGGAGUGGAAAAUCUACCAAGUGACGGUAACUAACCAGAAAGGGACGGCUAACUACGUGCCAGCAGCCGCGGUAAUACGUAGGUCCCGAGCGUUGUCCGGAUUUAUUGGGCUUAAAGCGAGCGCAGGCGGUUCUUUAAGUCUGAAGUUAAAGGCAGUGGCUUAACCAUUGUACGCUUUGGAAACUGGAGGACUAGAGUGCAGAAGGGGAGAGUGGAAUUCAAUGUGUAGCGGUGAAAUGCGUAGAUAUAUGGAGGAACACCGGUGGAGAAAGCGGCUCUCUGGUCUGUAACUGACGCUGAGGCUCGAAAGCGUGGGGAGCAAACAGG